rnacentral:lncRNA from 1 species
GGAGAUUCACACGACUGAUUCUUAGUAUCUGAUAGCCUAAUGACAUGAACACCUAAGAACAUAAUUAAUUAAGGGGAUGUUUGGAUACGAGAUGGUAAACUUUAGAAGGGUCACAUCGGAUGUUCGGAUGCUAAUUAGAAGGACUAAACAUGAGCUAAUUACAAAACUAAUUGCACAGAUGGAGUGUAAUUCGCGAGAUGAAUCUAUUAAGGCUAAUUAAUCCAUCAUUAGCUAACGGUUACUGUAGCACCACAUUAUCAAAUCAUGGACUAAUUAGGCUUAAUAGAUUCAUCUCGUGAAUUAGACUCCAUCUGUGUAAUUAGUUUUGUAAUUAGACUAUGUUUAAUACUUCUAAUUAGUAUCCAACAUCCGAUGUGACAGGUACUAAAGUUUAGCUGAGGGUAUCCAAACAACCUCUAAGACUUAAUCUCACUUACAUGAGUGUUAGAAGUAUCCAACAUCCGAUGUGAUAGGUACUAAAGUUUAGCUGAGGGUAUCCAAA